rnacentral:rRNA from 1 species
UACGGAGGGUGCGAGCGUUAAUCGGAAUUACUGGGCGUAAAGGGUGCGUAGGUGGUUUAAUAAGUUAUCUGUGAAAGCCCUGGGCUCAACCUGGGAAGGUCAGAUAAGACUGUUAGACUGGAGUAUGGGAGAGGGUAGUGGAAUUUCCGGUGUAGCGGUGAAAUGCGUAGAGAUCGGAAGGAACACCAGUGGCGAAGGCGGCUGCCUGGCCUGAUACUGACACUGAAGCACGAAAGCGUGGGGAGCAAACAGG